GAUGAGCGCUGGCGGCGUGCCUAAUACAUGCAAGUCGAGCGAACGGACGAGAAGCUUGCUUCUCUGAUGUUAGCGGCGGACGGGUGAGUAACACGUGGAUAACCUACCUAUAAGACUGGGAUAACUUCGGGAAACCGGAGCUAAUACCGGAUAAUAUUUUGAACCGCAUGGUUCAAAAGUGAAAGACGGUCUUGCUGUCACUUAUAGAUGGAUCCGCGCUGCAUUAGCUAGUUGGUAAGGUAACGGCUUACCAAGGCAACGAUGCAUAGCCGACCUGAGAGGGUGAUCGGCCACACUGGAACUGAGACACGGUCCAGACUCCUACGGGAGGCAGCAGUAGGGAAUCUUCCGCAAUGGGCGAAAGCCUGACGGAGCAACGCCGCGUGAGUGAUGAAGGUCUUCGGAUCGUAAAACUCUGUUAUUAGGGAAGAACAUAUGUGUAAGUAACUGUGCACAUCUUGACGGUACCUAAUCAGAAAGCCACGGCUAACUACGUGCCAGCAGCCGCGGUAAUACGUAGGUGGCAAGCGUUAUCCGGAAUUAUUGGGCGUAAAGCGCGCGUAGGCGGUUUUUUAAGUCUGAUGUGAAAGCCCACGGCUCAACCGUGGAGGGUCAUUGGAAACUGGAAAACUUGAGUGCAGAAGAGGAAAGUGGAAUUCCAUGUGUAGCGGUGAAAUGCGCAGAGAUAUGGAGGAACACCAGUGGCGAAGGCGACUUUCUGGUCUGUAACUGACGCUGAUGUGCGAAAGCGUGGGGAUCAAACAGGAUUAGAUACCCUGGUAGUCCACGCCGUAAACGAUGAGUGCUAAGUGUUAGGGGGUUUCCGCCCCUUAGUGCUGCAGCUAACGCAUUAAGCACUCCGCCUGGGGAGUACGACCGCAAGGUUGAAACUCAAAGGAAUUGACGGGGACCCGCACAAGCGGUGGAGCAUGUGGUUUAAUUCGAAGCAACGCGAAGAACCUUACCAAAUCUUGACAUCCUUUGACAACUCUAGAGAUAGAGCCUUCCCCUUCGGGGGACAAAGUGACUGGUGGUGCAUGGUUGUCGUCAGCUCGUGUCGUGAGAUGUUGGGUUAAGUCCCGCAACGAGCGCAACCCUUAAGCUUAGUUGCCAUCAUUAAGUUGGGCACUCUAAGUUGACUGCCGGUGACAAACCGGAGGAAGGUGGGGAUGACGUCAAAUCAUCAUGCCCCUUAUGAUUUGGGCUACACACGUGCUACAAUGGACAAUACAAAGGGCAGCGAAACCGCGAGGUCAAGCAAAUCCCAUAAAGUUGUUCUCAGUUCGGAUUGUAGUCUGCAACUCGACUACAUGAAGCUGGAAUCGCUAGUAAUCGUAGAUCAGCAUGCUACGGUGAAUACGUUCCCGGGUCU
rnacentral:rRNA from 1 species